UACGAAGGGGGCUAGCGUUGCUCGGAAUUACUGGGCGUAAAGCGCACGUAGGCGGCUCUUUAAGUCGGAGGUGAAAUCCUGGAGCUCAACUCCAGAACUGCCUUCGAUACUGAAGAGCUCGAGUCCGGGAGAGGUGAGUGGAACUGCGAGUGUAGAGGUGAAAUUCGUAGAUAUUCGCAAGAACACCAGUGGCGAAGGCGGCUCACUGGCCCGGUACUGACGCUGAGGAGCGAAAGCGUGGGGAGCAAACAGG
rnacentral:rRNA from 1 species